rnacentral:rRNA from 1 species
GUAACUGACCUAGCGGCGGACGGGUGAGUAAUACUUAGGAAUCUGCCUAUUAGUGGGGGACAACAUCUCGAAAGGGAUGCUAAUACCGCAUACGCCCUACGGGGGAAAGCAGGGGAUCACUUGUGACCUUGCGUUAAUAGAUGAGCCUAAGUCGGAUUAGCUAGUUGGUGGGGUAAAGGCCUACCAAGGCGACGAUCUGUAGCGGGUCUGAGAGGAUGAUCCGCCACACUGGGACUGAGACACGGCCCAGACUCCUACGGGAGGCAGCAGUGGGGAAUAUUGGACAAUGGGGGGAACCCUGAUCCAGCCAUGCCGCGUGUGUGAAGAAGGCCUUAUGGUUGUAAAGCACUUUAAGCGAGGAGGAGGCUCUCUUGGUUAAUACCCAAGAUGAGUGGACGUUACUCGCAGAAUAAGCACCGGCUAACUCUGUGCCAGCAGCCGCGGUAAUACAGAGGGUGCGAGCGUUAAUCGGAUUUACUGGGCGUAAAGCGUGCGUAGGCGGCUUUUUAAGUCGGAUGUGAAAUCCCCGAGCUUAACUUGGGAAUUGCAUUCGAUACUGGGAAGCUAGAGUAUGGGAGAGGAUGGUAGAAUUCCAGGUGUAGCGGUGAAAUGCGUANAGAUCUGGAGGAAUACCGAUGGCGAAGGCACCCAUCUGGCCUAAUACUGACGCUGANGUACGAAAGCAUGGGGAGCAAACAGGAUUANAUACCCUGGUAGUCCAUGCCGUA